UACGUAGGGUCCGAGCGUUGUCCGGAAUUACUGGGCGUAAAGAGCUCGUAGGUGGUUUGUCGCGUUGUUCGUGAAAACUCACAGCUCAACUGUGGGCGUGCGGGCGAUACGGGCAGACUAGAGUACUGCAGGGGAGACUGUAAUUCCUGGUGUAGCGGUGGAAUGCGCAGAUAUCAGGAGGAACACCGGUGGCGAAGGCGGGUCUCUGGGCAGUAACCGACGCUGAGGAGCGAAAGCGUGGGGAGCGAACAGG
rnacentral:rRNA from 1 species